ACACUACCCAGACAGCACAUGUACGUCUGGCCGAUGUCGGCCCAAUAUCGAAACGUCGGCCUCUAUACCUAAAACAUCUAUAAAACAUCGGCCUGGCGGAGGCCGAUAUCAUUUGGUCAGUGCUCUGUUCUCCAGCUCAUCAGUCGUCGGCCCUGAGUUGGUUCACGACCGCGGGCCGAUGCUGCGCUUAUCUGUGUGCGCGUGCCCAGUAUUCGUCUCUUUUAGCCACCCAGAGAGAGAGAAGAGGAUAAUCCCAGCGACAUCUGUGGCUCUGAGGCUUCCAGAAAUAAUCCGGUGAAAUAAUAUGGUGAGCUAUUGUUGCUGUUGCUUCUGAACUACAAAAUGAUUUUUAAAUUUAUUAUUGAAUGAGACUGUACAUUAUAAAUGUAAUGCUUUAACUCUAGAUGUUUGUUUGUGUGAAUGCUGUGUGUGCGGUGAGUCCUGCGCGAGCGGGGAGCAGAGUUGCCAUGGAAACGGGGCGUCAACACAAAAACCGUUACUGGCAAGCAGUAAUCUCCGUCUCUUGCUGCAGUUUACACUGUUUUGGAAACGGUUUAGUGUCUUCGGAAAAGUCCGUUAUCAUUUUAGCAGUUUUCAGAUGUUUGUUUGUGUAAAUGCUGUAUGCGCGUUGAGUCCUGCGCGAGCGGGGAGCAGAGUUGCCAUGGAAACGGGGCGUCAACACAAAAACCAUUACUGGCAAACAGUAAUCUCCGUCUCUAGCUGCAGUUUACACUGUUUUAGGAGGACAGAAAGAAACUCUACAGAACAGAAGUGAAGCUCCAAGAUUUCAACAUUUAUGAAGGGAGAUACUGACUUAGAAAUACAGCUUGUUUCCUUCUAAUGAACCUGGAACUGCAGAGUAAAUAUUGUUGACUCUGUGUCAGAUUGCUUGUUUUGUUCCUAAACUCUUCAGUGAUGACGAUCAGAGUCUGAGUGAACCUGCUGUCAGACAGGUUGGCCUGAUUGCCGAUGGCUUAUAGACAUCACGAUGCUGCGCCGGAAACAGCGUCAUCAGCUCCAGUAUCUCGCCCGUGCAUCUGUUGUCAUGCGGAGAAGUCACGUUCUAUAGACAGUUUCUAUAGACAGUUGUGAGGGUGCUGACAGCUGGUUGCCCAGGCUAUGGAUUAAAGGUAAUACUGUUGGCCAGCAGAGCCCUGCUCACCCUGACGGCCCACCGCUGCUGUCAGACAACAUCUCCAAGAUGCUAUAAACUCCAGGACUAGAUGUCAAUCCCAAGGUUUCUAGCGAUUACAGCAGCUCCAGACUGAAUCCAAACUCACUUUUGAAGACUUCAGAUGACACCAACGCUCACAAAGACUACAGACGACAACUGUAGAUGAACACACAAAACAUUGGACACACAAAACAAAUAUUAUCCUUAUUUUGCCUAUAUGGGUAAAUUUGAUGAUUUUCAAAC